GCCUGGGUGGCUCAGUUGGUUAAGCACCUGACUUUGGCUCAGGUCAUGAUCUCACGAUUCAUGGGUUCGAGCCCCACGUCAGGCU
rnacentral:tRNA from 1 species